CUACUGCUGCUGCAGCCGCCGCCGCCGCCGCCUGCCUGCGUAGCGAUGUGUGUGGCGCAGCCGCUGUCGAGAACUGCCGCUGUCCGGGACUAAUAACCGUACGAAGUCUCAGCUGUACACAGAAAGCCUGGUUGCUCCGGUGGCCUGAGGAUGGUACGCCGGCCGGAGUGGCCAAGCGGUUCUAGGCGUUAUAGUCUGGAACCACGCG